rnacentral:rRNA from 1 species
UAGGGAAUCUUCGGCAAUGGGGGCAACCCUGACCGAGCAGCGCCGCGUGAGUGAAGAAGGUUUUCGGAUCGUAAAGCUCUGUUGUAAGUCAAGAACGAGUGUGAGAGUGGAAAGUUCACACUGUGACGGUAGCUUACCAGAAAGGGACGGCUAACUACGUGCCAGCAGCCGCGGUAAUACGUAGGUCCCGAGCGUUGUCCGGAUUUAUUGGGCGUAAAGCGAGCGCAGGCGGUUAGAUAAGUCUGAAGUUAAAGGCUGUGGCUUAACCAUAGUACGCUUUGGAAACUGUUUAACUUGAGUGCAAGAGGGGAGAGUGGAAUUCCAUGUGUAGCGGUGAAAUGCGUAGAUAUAUGGAGGAACACCGGUGGCGAAAGCGGCUCUCUGGCUUGUAACUGACGCUGAGGCUCGAAAGCGUGGGGAGCAAACAGGAUUAGAUACCCUGGUAGUCCACGCCGUNNCGAUGAGUGCUAGGUGUUAGACCCUUUCCGGGGUUUAGUGCCGUAGCUNACGCAUUAAGCACUCCGCCUGGGGAGUACGACCGCAAGGUU